CCUACGGGAGGCAGCAGCUAAGAAUCUUCCGCAAUGGGCGAAAGCCUGACGGAGCGACACCGCGUGAAUGAUGAAGGCCGUGAGGUUGUAAAAUUCUUUUAUUGUUGAGGAAUAAGUAUUAUGCGAAAGUNUAGUAUGAUGACGUAGGCAAUGAAUAAGCCCCGCAUACG
rnacentral:rRNA from 1 species